UACAGAGGGUGCGAGCGUUGUCCGGAAUCACUGGGCGUAAAGGGCGCGUAGGUGGUGGCUUAAGCGUGCGGUGAAAGCUCGGGGCUCAACUCCGAGUCGGCCGUGCGAACUGGGCUCACUGGAGCAUACUAGAGGCAGAUGGAAUUCCGGGUGUAGCGGUGGAAUGCGUAGAGAUCCGGAAGAACACCGGUGGCGAAGGCGGUCUGCUGGGGUAAUGCUGACACUGAUGCGCGACAGCGUGGGGAGCAAACAGG
rnacentral:rRNA from 1 species